rnacentral:lncRNA from 1 species
GCAACACUUGGUACCAUAGAGGCAAGAAGCCAUGCUACCACCCGAGAGUUAUUAGAAUUCCACUGUCUAACAGCUAUCCCAUCUCCUUCUGGCCUUUUUGCAGUACCACUUAUAAACCCCUCAAGAUUGUGAGAAUCCAAAAUUAGACGAACAUGUCGCGUCCAACUUAAGUAGGUACCCGGCCCAUCCAAUUUGACCGGGUUAGUUUCUAGGGUGAUCUUUGAAAACUCACUACCCGAGAUA